AAACAGCCGAAUUCGCAAUAGUUGUUGGCGUGCUUUCAAACGAAUUAAAUCAGAGGUCUUUGGUAGUGAAGCGACACUCAUUACUGCACCAAUGUUAUUAGGUAUGUUUGAUGUUGAAACAAAAGUUACUAUUGUAAGUGUCGCUAGUG